UCAGGUAAAUCAGACUUUUAUCAAUUCUUAAAUACAUGUUAAGCAGUGCAUCAUAUCUGUAUGAGUACAGAGCUUUACAUCAAUUAUAUGCAUGUGUGUUUUUAUGUCUCCUUUUUAGUUUCAUUGAAAAGAUUGUAUUUGUGAAGUGUCUUAUAUUACUUCCAGGUGUGUUUUCUGACAGCAUUGGACCAAAAGAAGAAGAUAUGAAUAUAACCAGCAGAGAAGGAGAGUCUGUGACACUGAGAUGCUCAUAUGAAACAAGCAGCAAUUAUGUUAGACUUUACUGGUACAGACAGUAUCCUAAUAGUGAACCAAAAUAUUUACUGUGGAAAGGAGAGCAUAAAACAGACCAGCGGUUUAAGCCAAUUUCAUCCCAAUCAUCCACUGAACUCACUAUUAUCGGUGUGACUCUGUCAGAUUCAGCUCUCUAUUAUUGUGCUCUAAGAGUAGCAGCCCAGUGA